rnacentral:rRNA from 1 species
GAUGAACGCUGGCGGCGUGCCUAAUACAUGCAAGUCGAGCGAACAGACGAGGAGCUUGCUCCUCUGACGUUAGCGGCGGACGGGUGAGUAACACGUGGAUAACCUACCUAUAAGACUGGGAUAACUUCGGGAAACCGGAGCUAAUACCGGAUAAUAUAUUGAACCGCAUGGUGCAAUAGUGAAAGACGGUUUUGCUGUCACUUAUAGAUGGAUCCGCGCCGCAUUAGCUAGUUGGUAAGGUAACGGCUUACCACGGCAACGAUGCGUAGCCGACCUGAGAGGGUGAUCGCCCACACUGGAACUGAGACACGGUCCAGACUCCUACGGGAGGCAGCAGUCUGGAAUCUUCCGCAAAGGGCGAAAGCCUGACGGAGCAACGCCGCGUGAGUGAUGAAGGUCUUCCGAUCGUAAAACUCUCUUAUUAGUGAAGAACAACUGUGUAAUUAACUAUGCACUUCUUGACGGUACCUAAUCAGAAAGCCACGGCUAACUACGUG